rnacentral:tRNA from 1 species
UGGGAUGUAGCUCUAUAGUAGAGCACUUGCUUGGCAUUUAAAAAAACGUGGGUUUGAUCCCCACCACCAA